rnacentral:tRNA from 5 species
GGCAAUGUGUCUGAGUGGUUAAGGAGCGUGACUAGAAAUCACGUGGGUUCGCCCGCGUAGGUUCAAAUCCUGCCAUUGUCG